AUGAACAAGAUGCCCGCGGGAUUCUAAACACCCAUGGGAAUGUUAUCUGCGAACCUGUGGUAAUAAAGAUAAACAAGCAUACAUGCCUUGCACGCCCGACAACUUGCCCACACAUAACGAAGCAUGCGCGUGCAUUAGAUAAAAGUCGUGCAUGACUAAUGAGCAUUCAUUCUAUACAUGCCCUCAUCCAUGCGGGAUCCCCUUCCCGGAUGAAAAAGGUUUCCCAUUCGCAAAAGGAUUUUUGUGAGCUUAUGGAUCGAAUUAUUGUUGAUCUAGGCCUCACCGAAGCCCAUCAACUAUUCUAAAAUAAAGGC
rnacentral:lncRNA from 1 species